GUCAGCCAAGUGCUGCGUAACAGCGUAAGAAGACAUACAAGAGAGAGAGAGUUCGGCCUGAGAUAUUUCAUUUUUCAUUUAAAAGGAUUAUUCAGUUAUUGUUGUAUACCUGUCGAUGGCAUCAAGGGGUCGUCCUCUUCCACCCAAGCCACAAUAACAUCCAUACCCAUUAUAAUCAAAAGGGUUUCUGAAAGUCACCAUCCAAAUCAUCACUGCAAAGUCAAUGGAUCCUCUUUUUUGAAGCAUCUCUGAAAUUUAACAGUUGAUAUGACACGAUUGRAGA